rnacentral:misc_RNA from 1 species
GAUGAAGAACGUAGCGAAAUGCGAUACGUAAUGUGAAUUGCAGAAUUCAGUGAAUCAUCGAAUCUUUGAACGCAUAUUGCGCUCUCUGGUAUUCCGGAGAGCAUGCUUGUUUGAGUAUCAGUAAACACCUCAACUCCCCUUUCUUUUUUUGAAAUGGGAGCUGGACUUGAGUGAUCCCAACGCUUUUCUCACCGAAAAGUGGCGGGUUACUUGAAAUGCAGGUGCAGCUGGACUGUUCUCUGAGCUAAAAGCAUAUCUAUUUAGUCUGCCUAAAAAACAGAUUAUUACCUUUGCUGCAGCUAACAUAAAGGAGAUUAGUUCUUGUGCUGACUGAUGCAGGAUUCACAGAGACAGCUUCGGCUGGCCUUUGUAAACUCGAUCUCAAAUCAAGUAAGACUACCCGCUGAACUUAAGCAUAUCAAUAAGCGGAGGA